rnacentral:rRNA from 1 species
AAAGGGAUGCCUCAGUAGCGGCGAGUGAAGCGGCAAAGCUCAAAUUUGAAAUCUGGCGUCUUUGGCGUCCGAGUUGUAAUUUGAAGAAGGUAUCUUUGGGCCCGGCUCUUGUCUAUGUUCCUUGGAACAGGACGUCACAGAGGGUGAGAAUCCCGUGCGAUGAGAUGACCCGGGUCUGUGUAAAGUUCCUUCGACGAGUCGAGUUGUUUGGGAAUGCAGCUCUAAGUGGGUGGUAAAUUCCAUCUAAAGCUAAAUAUUGGCGAGAGACCGAUAGCGAACAAGUACAGUGAUGGAAAGAUGAAAAGAACUUUGAAAAGAGAGUGAAAAAGUACGUGAAAUUGUUGAAAGGGAAGGGCUUGAGAUCAGACUUGGUAUUUUGCAUGCUGCUCUCUCGGGGGCGGCCGCUGCGGUUUACCGGGCCAGCAUCGGUUUGGAGCGGCAGGAUAAUGGCGGAGGAAUGUGGCACGGCUUCUGCUGUGUGUUAUAGCCUCUGACGAUACUGCCAGCCUAGACCGAGGACUGCGGUUUUUAACCUAGGAUGUUGGCAUAAUGAUCUUAAGUCGCCCGUCUUGAACAACGGA